AGUGAACGCUGGCGGUAGGCCUAACACAUGCAAGUCGAACGGCAGCACAGUAAGAGCUUGCUCUUACGGGUGGCGAGUGGCGGACGGGUGAGGAAUACAUCGGAAUCUACUUUUUCGUGGGGGAUAACGUAGGGAAACUUACGCUAAUACCGCAUACGACCUACGGGUGAAAGCAGGGGAUCUUCGGACCUUGCGCGAUUGAAUGAGCCGAUGUCGGAUUAGCUAGUAGGCGGGGUAAAGGCCCACCAAGGCGACGAUCCGUAGCUGGUCUGAGAGGAUGAUCAGCCACACUGGAACUGAGACACGGUCCAGACUCCUACGGGAGGCAGCGGUGGGGAAUAUUGGACAAUGGGCGCAAGCCUGAUCCAGCCAUACCGCGUGGGUGAAGAAGGCCUUCGGGUUUUAAAGCCCUUUUGUUGGGAAAGAAAAGCAGCAGGUUAAUACCCCGCUGUUCUGACGGUACCCAAAGAAUAAGCACCGGCUAACUUCGUG
rnacentral:rRNA from 1 species